CCGUGUCAUUUUUCUCUCCCGCACGGCCGCACCUACCGCUCUCUCUCUCGUAUCCUCGGUUCCCCAAUGCGCCGCCGCCGCUCGCCGACGUCCGCCGCCGCUCGCCGACGUCCAACGCAGGCCGCAUCCGCCGCCGCCUCCACGCAGAGCUUCUUCUUGGUGCCCUCCACUGGAUCCCUACCCGCACUCCGCCUUUCCGCCCCUGAGCGCGACGCUGCGCCUAACCCUAGCCGUCGGGUUCGUCACUGUCGCCGCCACGGUACCGCGACGCCGCUCUGCCCUCGCACGACGUCCUCCUCCCCAGAAUCCGUCGUCGGCCGAUAUGUGGCGAAGCGGCAGCAGCAGACGCCGAGGCGGCGUGGCACCCGCGCUCGCCGGCGCCGCACGACCUCUCCGACGAAUCCGACUACGCCGCCGCCACCUCCGCCUCCUCCUCCAUCCACGCGGUGCAGUCUUGGCAACCUGGGGGUUCCUUGGACAGCGGACAGAAAUGGAGCCAGAUCGAGUGGUUGAGCUCCGUGUGAGGCAAUUAUAUGCUACUAAGUGGCUCAAGGAAAAUCUUGUGUAUGGUGCGGCUGACAAAAUUCAGAGACAAAUAGGCUAGUGGGACUAGCUCACCUCAGUGUAUGUGGCACCAGGGGACGAAUUGGUGGAUAUUGCAGGUGCUUCGACUGAAGUUGCCUGGAGGCACCCCCAAACUCAUCCGUGGACCUUCAGGACAAUGGUAGCAGCAAGACUGAACGAAAAAGCUCAAGAAGCCUCACAAGAAUUGCCACCCGGCUAGACGGCUGGUGUCAUCUUGGAAAUACCUUCUUUUAAGAUCAUCUGUCUGCUUGAGCGUGAUCUUCCAGUAUCAGGUACCACACCUAUUCAUUCAUGGCCUUGUUGUGCGCUUCAUAUAGCCAACCACUUGAAUUCUUCAUCAUCCUAUCUGUUCCUGGAUUUUCCUUUGUAGCUUUUGGUACCCAUGGGUUUUUUUUUUUUUGUAAGACGCCAGACUUGUUUUACCCGAACUAUGAUGAGCACUCAAAACAGUCAGAGUCAACUUUGACAGACUUAACACAAACAUCAGCUCCCAGAAACAUGGACAGAAGCACCAAGACGAACCAACCCACAAUAUGAGCACCUUAUAGCACAUAAGCAAUGAGAAUUCACCACCAGGAAAACAACAUACGAUUAUGAACUUAGAAGCUGAUAACACAAUUCAAGAAAUUCAUAUCAUCAACCAAACAGGAUAUAGAAAAAUUAUACCAAUGAAUAUGAGAUACAGUUAUUCAUGACGGAAAAAAUGCCCUUUUUAUAGCCAAAGAUGAAUCAAGUAUUGUUUAACAGGCGUUGUUCAUCAGCAGUGAAAGGCCUUCUGGAAGUUGUUUCUAGAUUAUUAGUAUAACAAUGUUUUUGCAAUAGUAUAUGAGUAAUUUAGUAAUUUCGGUUUUAUUAAUUCAUGGAUGAUAAAAGUGAAUUCAGAGUUAAUUUCGUUUCACCAGAGCUGAUGCUUUACUUAACCCAAGUCAGGCCCAAAGAAGCUCUAACUUCUACGAAUUUUUAAACUUGAUUUAGGACUGCAAUGUGCACAUUCUUCAGUGUUUCGUGGAAAUUCAGGCAUCCAACUCAGAGAAUAGGGCCAGAUGAAUGUAAAUUUUCCAAACGGGUAUUAAGUUAUGACUACUAAAAACCAUGCAAGUGCCAUGUAAAAUGAUUAUGAAUUGAAAGCACGCUAUAUGCAACAACUUUGAUGUUUUAUGUCUUCUUGAUAUAUGAUACAUACUUUGGAAACUUCCUUCAAACCCUGAACACCUGCAUUUGCCUUCCUUCUGGGUUCAGAAGCAUGAAGAGGAGGCAAUCUAUGUGCACAGUAUGUUCUUUUUCUCAUCAACUAUGUAUUCGACAUUAAUAUGAUGCUUCCUUUCAGUUUACCUUGCACGUACGACAUUAAUUAACGAAGAUGCCAACUUAUUUUAUAGUUCAUUGUAUUGCCAAUUCAGUUGUGCUAGCUUCCAUAUGAUAUCCUGUUAUUCUGCCAUGCUGCUAUGUGUUCGCAAUGUUUAGUGAAACAAAUUAGCAAUAUUCCUCUUUUGAGUGCUACAAAGUGAAUUAGCAACAAUCGUCUUCAAUGUCACAUGUUUAUCCAAGGAGAGACCUUUGAGAAUCACAAAAUUUCUUGUUAUGUUAUAUAUGCUAUUUUAUUUAGCCCAUACUCUCCUUCAGGUAUAGAAAAAAUCCUCUCAAUGCAUAGGAAUCUAUUCAAGGUAAGGCGGCCGUUGAAAACUUAUGUGGUGUAUUUCUGUGGAUUUAGAACACACGAUUUGUAGAGAUAUAGAAACAACUAACUGAACGAAGGUGUCAUAGAACUUAUAGAGAACCCCUUUCUUUUUUCUAUUUGAGUGCUUAAUUUUAUGUUUUGGCAGUCAUUCCGUCUAAGGUUUGCUGAUUAUGCAGAGCUUCAAUACUCUUAGCGCAUAGGCUGCAUUGUAUGGUUGUUUUGAUGUAUCAUGCAACUACGUUAGCAACGGCAAACGUAUGAUAAAUGUACAUAGUUACAGGAUAGACCUAGGUCUAUUUUGAAAUAGGCAUGAUUUAAGAUGAAUAUAUACUUUUACUAAUCACCUCGACACUUCUUUUGCUCAUAUCUUCGACAGACUUUUUUGUGUGGUAAUUUGACAGUUUCUUUCUAUAAAAUAUCAUGAUAGGCCCACAAGCGUAUAAGGAUAUCUUCUCUGGUAAUGGCAGUCGCGACGUGCCAGGGCCCUCCUCCAGGAGAGCACGAACCACACCAACCCCAGCCUUCCUCUCAAGAGCCAUGAAAUCAUUGUUCUAUCAUCCGACAAUAAGGAUGAUGACAACAAGCGAUGAUCAUUUAACUGUGACUCUCUGUAUGAGUCUAAAAGCUCAAGUGUCAUAAGGGGUUUACUGACUAACUGUGACUUGAUACUUCAAUUUGACCAGUUGGGCAUGCCAUAUGGGAGUACUACUCAGCCAUACUCACAGCACAGACUGAGUUGCCCCCGGCGCAUUUAGUGAUGAGAUAUGGGCACUGUUUUGAAUAUUUGCAGUAAAGUAGGAUAUGUGCAUGCUUGAUGAUUCUGAUCCUUCUCUUCUUCAGGUGGAAUGCAGUUGAGGUCGAAGAUGCCGUUGGAGAGACCAGAGGUUGCCUUGGUGGUGCUUGCCGGAGAUCACGGCGAGAUGCUCUGCUGGGAGAGGAGACCUCGCCGGCGAGGUUGGGGACGAGCUGUUGGUUAAAGAUCAUGUAAUGAUUUUGUAAUUUAGAUGCUACUUGCAAAUGUUGGUUCCAUAUCCUAUAAUUUAGAUGCCUGGCUACAAUUUUAAUGCAUGAUCAUGUUACUGUGUUUGAUUAAAAUACCAGGCAAUAUGAUAACUGCAUAUAUUUGUGCAAGUACUA